rnacentral:rRNA from 1 species
CCUACGGGAGGCAGCAGUGGGGAAUAUUGGACAAUGGGGGCAACCCUGAUCCAGCCAUGCCGCGUGUGUGAAGAAGGCCCUCGGGUUGUAAAGCACUUUCAGUGAGGAAGAACGCCUGGUGGUUAAUACCCAUCAGGAAAGACAUCACUCACAGAAGAAGCACCGGCUAACUCCGUGCCAGCAGCCGCGGUAAUACGGAGGGUGCGAGCGCUAAUCGGAAUUACUGGGCGUAAAGCGCGCGUAGGUGGCUUGAUAAGCCGGUUGUGAAAGCCCCGGGCUCAACCUGGGAACGGCAUCCGGAACUGUCAAGCUAGAGUGCAGGAGAGGAAGGUAGAAUUCCCGGUGUAGCGGUGAAAUGCGUAGAGAUCGGGAGGAAUACCAGUGGCGAAGGCGGCCUUCUGGACUGACACUGACACUGAGGUGCGAAAGCGUGGGUAGCAAACAGGAUUAGAUACCCUUGUAGUC